rnacentral:rRNA from 1 species
UACAGAGGUCUCGAGCGUUGUUCGGAUUCAUUGGGCGUAAAGGGCGCGUAGGCGGCGGGGUAAGUCUGGUGUGAAAUCUCGGAGCUCAACUCCGAAAUUGCACUGGAUACUGCUCUGCUAGAGGGCUGGAGAGGAGAUCGGAAUUCACGGUGUAGAGGUGAAAUUCGUAGAUAUUCGCAAGAACACCAGUGGCGAAGGCGGCUCACUGGCCCGGUACUGACGCUGAGGUGCGAAAGCGUGGGGAGCAAACAGG